CUGGCCCCACCCCCCAGGAAGAGGCCUGCCUGCCUAUCCCACUAUCGGGAAGCAGAGGUAGGAAAAGUGGCCUGGAUACAAACUCAUCAAGAGAUCAUAGAUCCCAGUCCCUCAGCUACCGGAGGAGACCCAAGUGGUGACUCUCUUGGCUAUGACACCAAGCCCCCAUUUCAUUCUCUUGGUGUCUGUCUUCUUGUUGCUUGCAGAGUCUUCCAGAUGCAUCCCUGACCUCAGUCCAAUGGUUGCUAGUCCUUGGCCCCUGGCUCAUACAUAUGUAGCAGAGGACUGCCUGAUUCGGCCUCACUGGGAGAGGAUGCACCUAUUUCUGUAGAGACUUGAUGCCCCAGGGAAGAGAGAUGAGUGGAUAAGCGCACGCAUCUAAGUCUCGUCACCUCUCUGCGUCCUACCUGCUCAUCAGGCACAACAGAGCUGACCUUUCUCCCAGUCACACUGUGAGGAUGAAAUCCUGCUGCAGAGCACUUUGAAAUCGUUGGAUGACAAGUAAGACAGAAGCGCCAAGUAUGAUGGUUACCCGUGCCAGCAACACUAGAAGACAGCAUAAAAAUAGGAAGCAGAGAAAAUUUCAUUUGGUAAAAGCUUCAGUGAGAAAAUCGGCUGGUCAGAAUGUCAUUCCCUGUUUCUGGUUCACAUAGACAUUGGCUUUUAUAAAAUUA